UACGUAGGGUGCAAGCGUUGUCCGGAAUUAUUGGGCGUAAAGAGCUCGUAGGCGGUCUGUCGCGUCGGCUGUGAAAACUCGGGGCUCAACUCCGAGCUUGCAGUCGAUACGGGCAGGCUAGAGUUCGGUAGGGGAGUCUGGAAUUCCUGGUGUAGCGGUGAAAUGCGCAGAUAUCAGGAGGAACACCGGUGGCGAAGGCGGGACUCUGGGCCGAUACUGACGCUGAGGAGCGAAAGCGUGGGGAGCAAACAGG
rnacentral:rRNA from 1 species